GAGGGGGAAGAAAGAAACUAUAUCAGCUUUCAAAAUGCUUUCACCGUUUUCCAUUUUCUUUCUGGUUGUUGUGUUCAUCCUCAUCCUCAUGAUCUUUGCCUGCAGAUCAACAAGAAAUUCUGAUGGCGCUCACAACUCACAGGAACAACUUCCUACUUCACCACUUAUAUUAAGAGACAUACCUCGUGACCAUAAUUACUGAUGAUUUGCAGCUCAGUCUUAGGAAUUUUGGAUUCUCUAUAUUAUAGGUGCAGUUAUUUGUAAGGAAUUAUGUAUAAAUCGUGAUAAAUAGUUGAGCUUCAUGAUGGACUAGAAACUUGUGUUUUGUUAUUUAGUUGUAUGAUUUUUAUUCCUUUUGAUUGAUUAUUACUAGUAUGUAUGGUGAAAUUUUUGUUUAA